GAUGAACGCUGGCGGCGUGCUUAACACAUGCAAGUCGAGCGAGUGAGUUCUUAGGAACGAUCUAGCGGCGGACGGGUGAGUAACACGUGGGCAACCUGCCUCAUAGAGGGGAAUAGCCUCCCGAAAGGGAGAUUAAUACCGCAUAAAAUUAUCGAGUGGCAUCACAUGAUAAUCAAAGGAGUAAUCCGCUAUGAGAUGGGCCUGCGGCGCAUUAGCUAGUUGGUGAGGUAACGGCUCACCAAGGCGACGAUGCGUAGCCGACCUGAGAGGGUGAUCGGCCACAUUGGGACUGAGACACGGCCCAGACUCCUACGGGAGGCAGCAGUGGGGAAUAUUGCACAAUGGGGGAAACCCUGAUGCAGCAACGCCGCGUGAGUGAUGAAGGUCUUCGGAUUGUAAAGCUCUGUCUUUGGGGACGAUAAUGACGGUACCCAAGGAGGAAGCCACGGCUAACUACGUGCCAGCCGCCGCGGUAA
rnacentral:rRNA from 1 species